rnacentral:tRNA from 1 species
CGUUUCAUUGCCAAACUGGUCAAAGCAUCGCUGAUUAGAUGCAAAAAUGCGGGUUCGAGUCCCGCUUGAACGU